rnacentral:rRNA from 1 species
GACCUAGCGGCGGACGGGUGAGUAAUACUUAGGAAUCUGCCUAUUAGUGGGGGACAACGUUCCGAAAGGAGCGCUAAUACCGCAUACGCCCUACGGGGGAAAGCAGGGGAUCUUCGGACCUUGCGCUAAUAGAUGAGCCUAAGUCGGAUUAGCUAGUUGGUAGGGUAAAGGCCUACCAAGGCGACGAUCUGUAGCGGGUUUGAGAGGAUGAUCCGCCACACUGGGACUGAGACACGGCCCAGACUCCUACGGGAGGCAGCAGUGGGGAAUAUUGGACAAUGGGCGCAAGCCUGAUCCAGCCAUGCCGCGUGUGUGAAGAAGGCCUUAUGGUUGUAAAGCACUUUAAGCGAGGAGGAGGCUUACCUAGCUAAUACCUAGGAUAAGUGGACGUUACUCGCAGAAUAAGCACCGGCUAACUCUGUGCCAGCAGCCGCGGUAAUACAGAGGGUGCAAGCGUUAAUCGGAAUUACUGGGCGUAAAGCGCGCGUAGGUGGCCAUUUAAGUCAAAUGUGAAAUCCCCGAGCUUAACUUGGGAAUUGCAUUCGAUACUGGGUGGCUAGAGUAUAGGAGAGGAAGGUAGAAUUCCAGGUGUAGCGGUGAAAUGCGUAGAGAUCUGGAGGAAUACCGAUGGCGAAGGCAGCCUUCUGGCCUAAUACUGACACUGAGGUGCGAAAGCAUGGGGAGCAAACAGGAUUAGAUACCCUGGUAGUCCAUGCCGUAAACGAUGUCUACUAGCCGUUGGGUCCUUUGAGGACUUAGUGGCGCAGCUAACGCGAUAAGUAGACCGCCU